rnacentral:rRNA from 1 species
GAAGGGGGCUAGCGUUGUUCGGAAUUACUGGGCGUAAAGCGCGCUCAGGCGGCUAUCCAAGUCAGUGGUGAAAGCCCGGAGCUCAACUCCGGAACUGCCAUUGAAACUGUUUAGCUUGAGGACGAGAGAGGUGAGUGGAAUUCCCAGUGUAGAGGUGAAAUUCGUAGAUAUUGGGAAGAACACCGGUGGCGAAGGCGGCUCACUGGCUCGUAUCUGACGCUCAGGCGCGAUAGCGUGGGGAUCAAACAGGAUUAGAUACCCUGGUAGUCCACGCCGUAAACGAUGAAUGCUAGCCGUUGGGUAGCUUGCUAUUCAGUGGCGCAGCUAACGCAUUAAGCAUUCCGCCUGGGGAGUACGGCCGCAAGGAG